AUUGAACGCUGGCGGCAGGCCUAACACAUGCAAGUCGAGCGGAGCGGCGGACGGGUGAGUAAUGCCUAGGAAUCUGCCUGGUAGUGGGGGAUAACGUCAGGAAACGGGCGCUAAUACCGCAUAAUAUCAGAUGAGCCUAGGUCGGAUUAGCUAGUUGUUGGGGUAAAGGCCUACCAAGGCGCAGAUCCGUAACUGGUCUGAGGGGAUGAUCAGUCACACUGGAACUGAGACACGGUCCAGACUCCUACGGGAGGCAGCAGUGGGGAAUAUUGGACAAUGGGCGAAAGCCUGAUCCAGCCAUGCCGCGUGUGUGAAGAAGGUCUUCGGAUUGUAAAGCACUUUCAGCGGGGAGGCGUUACCAACAGAAUAAGCACCGGCUAACUCCGUGCCAGCAGCCGCGGUAAUAC
rnacentral:rRNA from 1 species